CCGGUGAACCUGUUUAUCUGCGA
rnacentral:siRNA from 1 species